rnacentral:miRNA from 7 species
CCGGGUGCCGUCGCGCCCCGCGUCACUCAGCCCUCCGUUUGCCCGC